UGGGGAAUUUUGGACAAUGGGCGAAAGCCUGAUCCAGCAAUGCCGCGUGUGUGAAGAAGGCCUUCGGGUUGUAAAGCGCUUUUGUCCGGAAAGAAAUCCUUGGCUCUAAUACAGUCGGGGGAUGACGGUACCGGAAGAAUAAGCACCGGCUAACUACGUGCCAGCAGCCGCGGUAAUACGUAGGGUGCAAGCGUUAAUCGGAAUUACUGGGCGUAAAGCGUGCGCAGGCGGUUUGCUAAGACCGAUGUGAAAUCCCCGGGCUCAACCUGGGAACUGCAUUGGUGACUGGCAGGCUAGAGUAUGGCAGAGGGGGGUAGAAUUCCACGUGUAGCAGUGAAAUGCGUAGAGAUGUGGAGGAAUACCGAUGGCGAAGGCAGCCCCCUGGGCCAAUACUGACGCUCAUGCACGAAAGCGUGGGGAGCAAACAGGAUUAGAUACCCUGGUAGUCCACGCCCUAAACGAUGUCAACUAGUUGUUGGGGAUUCAUUUCCUUAGUAACGUAGCAACGCGUGAAGUUGACCGCCUGGGGAGUACGGUCGCAAGAUUAAAACUCAAAUGAAUUGACGGGGUCAUAGCUGUUUCCU
rnacentral:rRNA from 1 species